rnacentral:rRNA from 1 species
UGCGAGUCUUUGCAGUAAUGCAAGGCAUACGGCUCAGUAACACGUAGUCAACUUACCCUAUGGACGAGGAUAAUCUCGGGAAACUGAGCAUAAUACUCGAUAGAUCAUAAUGCCUGGAAUGGUUUAUGGUUGAAAUGAUUCGUCGCCAUAGGAUGGGACUGCGGCCUAUCAGCUUGUUGGUGAGGUAAUGGCCCACCAAGGCGAUUACAGGUACGGGCUCUGAGAGGAGAAGCCCGGAGAUGGGUACUGAGACAAGGACCCAGGCCCUAUGGGGCGCAGCAGGCGAGAAAACUUUGCAAUGUGCGAAAGCACGACAAGGUUAAUCCGAGUGAUUUCUGCUAAAGAAAUCUUUUGCAAGUCAUAAAACCACUAGUGAAUAAGGGGUGGGCAAGUUCUGGUGUCAGCCGCCGCGGUAAAACCAGCACCUCAAGUGGUCAGGAGGAUUAUUGGGCCUAAAGCAUCCGUAGCCGGCUCUGUAAGUUUUCGGUUAAAUCCAUGUGCUCAACGCAUGGGCUGCCGAAAAUACUGCAUAGCUAGGGAGUGGGAGAGGUAGACGGUACUCGGUAGGAAGGGGUAAAAUCCUUUGAUCUAUCGAUGACCACCUGUGGCGAAGGCGGUCUACCAGAACACGUUCGACGGUGAGGGAUGAAAGCUGGGGGAGCAAGCCGGAUUAGAUACCCGGGUAGUCCCAGCUG